rnacentral:rRNA from 1 species
UGGGGAAUAUUGGACAAUGGGCGCAAGCCUGAUCCGGCCAUGCCGCGUGAAUGACGAAGGCCUUAGGGUUGUAAAGCUCUUUUGGCGGGGAAGAUAAUGACGGUACCCGCAGAAUAAGCUCCGGCUAACUUCGUGCCAGCAGCCGCGGUAAUACGAAGGGAGCUAGCGUUGUUCGGAAUCACUGGGCGUAAAGCGCACGUAGGCGGAUAGUUAAGUCAGGGGUGAAAUCCUGGGGCUCAACCCCAGAACUGCCUUUGAUACUGGCUGUCUCGAGGUCGAGAGAGGUUGGUGGAAUUCCUAGUGUAGAGGUGAAAUUCGUAGAUAUUAGGAAGAACACCAGUGGCGAAGGCGGCCAACUGGCUCGAUACUGACGCUGAGGCGCGAAAGCAAGGGGAUCAAACAGGAUUAGAUACCCAUGUAGUCCCUGAGCGGGCUGGCAAGGCGCAU